UCGUAUGUUGAAACAUUUGACGCCUUGGAUAAGGAUUGUAUUGUGCAGGAAUUCCUUAAUAAGUUGCAGGAGGAGGACGAGAUUGUGGAGGAAUUCCUUGCUAACUUGCAGGAUGAGGCUGACAUUGAGCAGGAAUUUCGGGAUAAGCUGCACGAGGAAGGUGAUAUAGAGCAAGGCUUUCUGACUGCCUUGCUACUGGAAGAGAAGUUCGAUGAGGUGGUGCCACUCGAUCUCCUUAGAUGGGUGGAAAGAGGACCAUCUCCUGAUAUGAGCAUGGAACGCUCAUUUGGAGGACCCGCAGCUGCAAUUCAAGAAGAAGUAUUUACAAGGGCGCUAAGGCAGCUGGAGCUUCAAUCGGAUUUUGGUUAAGGGUUUCUCUUAGUCGGGCUGGCGACUUAAAAACUAGCGCUGCAUGGGAGGCAACCCAUGUUUUCUUGCUUCUUCUUGUUUCGUUUUUCUUUCGUUUUGUUUGUGUCUUGUUUUGUUGCUUUUGUUGUUUGGUGCAGGUUGUUAUGUUGGAGACUGCUUGUUCUUUGGACGAGAGAGAGGCAGACAUUGUGGGACACUACAGACUCACCACUGGACCGG
rnacentral:lncRNA from 1 species